CGAUUAGUAUGAAUUUUGAGAUUCUAUUAAAAUAUGAAUAGCAGCAAUUGUUAAACUAUCAAAAUUUUUCUUUUAUUCAUUAUACAAUGCUAUUUACUUAUUACGGUGAAAAACUAACACGUCAACCUCAAACAAUUUAGGAUUUAAACUUUCGCUUUCCAAUCAAGUUUAGAUUUUUAUUUUCCCUAAAAGUAGUCUUCUCAUUUGCACAUGAUUUUGUAAUGCUAAGCUUGGGGUAAAUGAAAGAGACCUCCCUUUUGUAAAAGAAAUCUGCGUAAUGCUUAUAACAUCGGGUCGUAAUUGCUUGACUCAAUAAUGUAAACAAAUUUUGUUAAAACUAUUUGUCCCUUGAAGAGGCAGUGUUAUAUAGUCAGAUUAGCAACACAAUAUAUUAAAAACAUCGAGGAAAUUUGCAUUAAUAAAUGCGAAAUUUUCGUAUUCUAUAUGAGCGAAACCUUAGCUAAAUAGUAUUGAUUAACUCAGAAAAGACCAAGCAUUCAUAGCGAAAUUAACAUGAAAAUUCGUGAUAAUAGCCUUGCUACAUGAAGGCAAGAAGUUCGUUUGUUUUUAAGCAAUGCAAGCAUGGCAUUAUUAUUAGCGCAUUGGCUUCUUCUAAAAAACACAAUCUUACAUUUUAAUUCGGUUGUGGAAAAAUUUGAUCUUUAGUUCAAUGUCUUUUGUAAACUGAUAAUUUUAACUUCAUUUUUUGGAAAUGUGCAUUUUGCUAAUGCAUAUAUAGCAGCAAGACCUUAAAUAACAAUAUAAGUUUUCAUGAGAACCA